UACGGGGGGAGCAAGCGUUGUUCGGAUUUACUGGGCGUAAAGGGCGCGUAGGCGGUCGUGACAAGUCACUUGUGAAAUCUCCGGGCUUAACUCGGAACGGUCAAGUGAUACUGUCGGACUAGAGUACAGAAGGGGCAACUGGAAUUCUCGGUGUAGCGGUGAAAUGCGUAGAUAUCGAGAGGAACGCCGGUGGCGAAAGCGACCCGCUGGACCUCUUCUGACGCUGAGGCGCGAAAGCCAGGGGAGCAAACGGG
rnacentral:rRNA from 1 species